GUUUUCAGAUUAUUCAGUUGCUGAAAGUGAGUCGCUUGGAUCUAGAUGUGUUCUAUUUAUGUACGCACGUUUAAAUACCUGUUAAAAAUAUACUCCCUGUGAAGGUGAUGAUUUAGCUGUAGUUCUUCCUGCUUAAAGAAGAGACUUUGGAAAGGACUACAGGGCAGCAGAGUGGACGUCUCUCUAUUCGGAUGCCUUUUGCGCUUUGAUAUGAGAGAUACAUGAAUAUACAUAAAGCAGGAAAAAAUGCUGUUCAGCACCUUCUGGACAGUGGUAUUGAAGAGUGUGUCUGUAGGAAUAUAUCUGAAGCAUGAUCAGGACUGGGACCCUAAAAGCCUAAGCAAGGCAAAUAUAUGAAAAUGAAGAUAUGAAGCAGAGCAAAGCUCUCUAAACAGAGACAGCCCAUCGUAAGUGGAAUAAACAGGCCACAUUCCCUUUCAGAAGCCCUCCCAGACCCAUCAGAAGUAACUUUUGAUUGCCAGUGAUCUGAAAAUAUCAAAGUCCUAGAAGCAAAGGAAGGUAAGGCCUGUGAUCCUUUCUCACACACAGUCUCUUUGUAUGGGUCUGAGAUUCCUACAGUCAACUCUGUUUUUUCCAGAUGUCCACUGGGCCAUUCCUCCCAGAGCAAAGACUGAAAUCCAAAAUCCAAAGCCAACACAUCAGUGCUGUGCUUGA